rnacentral:lncRNA from 1 species
CAAAAAAAAAAGUAUGAGGAGGACUAUAAUAAUUAAAAAAAUUGUUUUUUAAAAAGAAAUAUAGCAAGACUUCUUCGAGUUAUCAGCUGAUAUAACAACAUGACUGCUGCGGGUGCUGGCUGAUCACGAAGAUAUUUUUUCUACUUGUUGAUCGAACCUGAUUUCAAAAAUUGUAAUGUUAAUGUAAGAAAUAGUUAAUGUAUACCAGAAAGGUUAAAAAUCUACCUCUAGUGGUGUAUCGAUUUUCUCUUUUACACACACUUGUAAGGCUUGUUUUUUUUAUAGUAGUAAUUUCAUUGGAUGAUGAUGAUCAUUGAUUCUCAUUUGCUAAAACUUACUAACUAAAGGAAUAGAUUGAAAGCUUCUGCAUUUUUAAAUAGUAUAUUAUACGUAAAAUGCAUAAGCGUACCAGUUUUUAUUGCUCGGGGCAAAUAUAUGUCACGUGUGCGUGAAAAACGGAGCCAUUCAAGUUCCAAACCUUAACAAAAGUCUCAGUCUAUACGAAAUGGGUGUUGCGUGUAGAAUUAAAGAUUGUGGGAAUUCCAGGGGGAAACCUAGAAAAGGUAAAAGCGUAAUGUAUCAUUAAUUUCCUUCGAAGAAGUGAUGGGAACAAAAUGGGUCGACAGUUUUACCAAGAGUUGUGGCUUUAAAAGAGAGCUAAAGGCUAAAGGGAAUAUAAGUCUUGCGUGUGCAGUUAACAUUUUAAAGAAAGCGAUUAUACAAGGGGAUUCACUGAGACUAAAAACGCUAGGAUUAUAAAUCUGCUAUUCCAUUCACAACGCCAGAUACUUAAAACAAUUAAGUUCUAAGGCAAUAUUCUAGUGGGGAGACCACAAUUUUUAAUAAUUUGAAUCAGGCGCAGUUACUCAAUUCACAAAAUUGACCAUCUGUCAAAUUAAACUAUUCGGUAGUUUCAAACGACAAAAUGCGAGAUAUCAAACUUUGGAGGGAAUAACACAAUGAUGAUAUUACGAGUACAGUAGAAAACUUUUCAACAAUUUGCGUACUCGGGUGAGUUAAUUUUCAUUCCAAAUUAAGACCUUACAUUAUUCGUGUAGUUUAAAUUUUUUGAAUCAACUUUGCAGAAAGUAAAAAGAGUCUCAGUAUUUUUUUCUCUCCACAUCUACUAAGGGCACAAGAAAUGGAAACAGUGAAAUGGUUUUUAAAACUGCUCAAAGAGUGAACCUUUCCACGGUAGACUAAAUGCUGAUUCAAAUAAUCCAAAACGAUUUUCACUAAACUCUAGUUUCUCUGUCCUGCAACGAAAAGGCCUUUCGGUUUUACGACAGUCUCGGCGUAGAAUGGGGAAAAUUUCUCAAAUUUAUUGUAAACUUAAAAUAAGACAAUAGCCCAUUACAACGAAUAGCAAAUUGCGAAAGAAUAAUUCAUACGACUGCGGCGUUUCCUUCUGUCAAUGUGCUUACUGUAUUUCAAAAGAAGCACAUUCAACUUAUUAAGCAGAACGAGAUGAUAAAGAUGGGACAAAUAAUUAAGAAGAACUUGCAGCAGGGUAACUUCGUGACAGCCUGUUGAUUGAACUAUCGGAAAUUCCAAUUGUUUCAGGAUACAACACUAAGAAUUCGACUUUUCCGUCGCAAGAGGUGGAAAUGGCCAUGUUUUCUCCGUCGCCAAUUCCGGUUAUUCCCCUAGCAACGUUUUUCCUCUUUCAACGAUUCCGGCUGUUGCAGAAUACAGUCCAGCAUGUUCAAAUUACUGUACAACCGAUUCAUAUACGUACCACCUAAGAAAAGAAAGAUUGUAAACGAUAGGGGACACAUGAAAUAUGACUAUCGUUUAACUUAUACAGGUGAGCAUAAAGUAGAAUGGCUUUGUGAAACAGAAAGGUUUCUACAGCAGGUAGGCAAGUCAUUUGCCAAUUCCUAGCAACGUCCCAAUUCAAAUCUACAACGAGACAACGGCUAAUUUAAUGAAGGAGUCGACAAGUGGCAUUCUUUAUGAGCUAACCCUAAAUAAGUCCCAGAUUACCCAUUCAAAGAAACGAGAACGGCAGCUGUCGUGCGAGUGGGGGGAUUUAUAGUAAGAUGUCUCUAUGAACGACAGAAAUGACGAAAAUGCAUUGAAAAACUAGAAACAAUCAAUGAAACCAGUCAGCAGAAGAAUUAUUUUUUAAAAUUCGUUUUUGAAACAGAUAGAGGAGAAUUGUUUUACCCGAGUUGGAGUUUUGGUUACCCGCUCGUCACCAUCAAGAAAUUUCAGCGAAAAGUUGUUUCUUUGAUACGCGGGGCAUCACACAUCGUAAAAGAUCUGGUUUAAUUUAUCAGACCACACCUCCUGAAAUGUGUUACAAUGUCUUUUGGUAAAGCCAGAAAAGACUUUUGAUAGUUGGGAAUAAUUUUUAUCGUUCCUCCAAGAACUGGAAACAGUGAAUUAUUACCCCCAAUUCGUUUUUUUUUACAAAAACAAACAGUUGCUUCAUACAAAAAAUCUAAAAGUUUCAAAAUAAAUUAAUAAGUUGAAGUUGAAGCAAUGUAUUCCAGUAAUGGAAUAUUGUGCAGCCUAAAAAUCAUUAUCUUUUAUGUGCGCGGCAACCUCUCGAACCGAAUCCGACUUGUCUCUCCUACUCCCUCCAGCUCCCCUUCCUCGUCCGUCGCCCUCGCCGGCGUGGUCCGCACUGCCAUUCACCCCCUGUCUUCCUCUCAUAUAAAAAAGACAACGAUCCGUGAUCGUUCACUCUACAGCUCUUGAGUAAUCCUUUCCUAGUAAUCAACCCUUUCUCUGUGAUCCCGAAACCCAGAUCAUAACAUCUUGAUGAGAAAUUGGAAUUUAAACAUGAAACUGUUAUUUGCCAGGGUUGGGAACGAUAAUACAAAUAAAAUAUGUUCGAUAUC